rnacentral:rRNA from 1 species
GACGAACGCUGGCGGCGUGCUUAACACAUGCAAGUCGAACGGAAAGGCCUGCUUUCCCUUGUGGAUUGCGGGUACUCGAGUGGCGAACGGGUGAGUAACACGUGAGUGAUCUGCCCCCAACUUGGGUAUAAGCCUGGGAAACUGGGUCUAAUUCCCGAUAGGACUGCAGGGUGGUGCCUGUGGUGGAAAACGAUUUUCUAGUGGUUGGGGAUGAGCUCGCGGCCUAUCAGCUUGUUGGUGGGGUAAUGGCCUACCAAGGCGGCGACGGGUAGCCGGCCUGGGAGGGUGGACGGGCACAUUGGGGCUGGGAUACGGCCCAGGCUCCUACGGGAGGCAGCAGUGGGGAAUAUUGGCCAAUGGGCGGAAGCCUGAUGCAGCGACGCCGCGUGGGGGAUGACGGCCUUCGGGUUGUAAACUCCUUUCGAACGCGGGGAAGCCACCUGGUUGGAAGGGUGGUGACGGUAGUGGUAGAAGAAGCACCGGCUAACUACGUG